rnacentral:rRNA from 1 species
AGCGCAGGCGGGAAGACAAGUUGGAAGUGAAAUCUAUGGGCUCAACCCAUAAACUGCUUUCAAAACUGUUUUUCUUGAGUAGUGCAGAGGUAGGUGGAAUUCCCGGUGUAGCGGUGGAAUGCGUAGAUAUCGGGAGGAACACCAGUGGCGAAGGCGGCCUACUGGGCACCAACUGACGCUGAGGCUCGAAAGUGUGGGUAGCAAACA